rnacentral:lncRNA from 1 species
CUUUCACAAUUUUCUCCAUCUGAUUAAAGUACUGGUCCAUACGUGGCUUUGCUUUUUCAAAGUCCAAGUCUUUGCCAAUGGUGGUGAGCAGGCGACACAGGCACUCCAGGGAUUCUUCAUCAUGGUUCUUUAGCAGCUUCACCACACAGUCAUGCAUGAUGGCUUCAGUCAGCAUUUUGAGUUUAAAGAGUUCUCCAAUAAACUUGAUGUUGCCAAUGGAUCUCCGCCGGGCUUUGUCCUUGGC